CAGCGAGACAGGAGGAGAAAUUCACUUGUGGAAGAAACUAUUACUAUUGCUUAUGCCCAGGCAGCAGACAUCAGAUCUGCAGAAGCGUAUGACAUGCUUGGAGGACGGUGAUGACAGAAGUGUACACCACUGGAAUAGGUGGCAGCUCUAGAGGAUACACUGAGAAGUGAAGGAAUUAGGAAACAACUGAUAAGUCAAACUAAAUGAAAUAAAUAAGGUUUCAAAGCUGUCCACAGCAGGUGGCUCAUCGGUGUGACAAAACGUAACGAGUUAUGGACAGGUUGAUGACAAAUGAGCUGAUAUCCAAGUUCAACAUGAAGGGGAAGAGAGAAAAGAAGGCCUUUGAAGGGACCUCUGUGUGCCAAAUUGUAAUUGCUUGAAAGUUCCUUCCAUUCUUCCAUUUACAACGUUAGUCCGACCAACAUACAACAUCAGAAUGGGACGUCAACACAACAUCACCGCAACCAACCUUGCCCACUGGGAACAGUCUUUUAGCCAUGGCAAGAAAAGAGCAUUUUUGUGAAAAAGUUACAAAGCUAAAAUUUUGGUUUCCCCCUUGAUAACGUUGAACAGUCUUUGAAAAAAAAACAAAAAAACAAUCAGAAUUGUAUGUCCUUGUAAACCACCAGACCAUGGAAAUGGGUAUCAGAUGCCUGGGGCUGAAAACGGAAUGCCAUAAGGAGGCUUGAUCUGUUCCACAUCAUUGCUGUGGCACUGCAAAAGGUAUGUGGAACUCUUCCUUGGAGAGGAAGAGGAGUCACCUAGCACUUGAUUUUUUUUUUUCCUAUUUCUGAAGUUACCAGGUCUUAAAGUCACAAAGAUGUAUUUGUAGCACAUUCUGGAAAGAAGGUGGUGCUUAUGAAACUAAAUCAAGUCUUUAUAACUCAACCACAUCAGUCCCUGACGUUAUAUUGUAUGCUGUGGCUUGAGGUUCUCCAAUGUCAUUUCAGGAAUAUUCAAAUUAAAAAUCAGUGGGGAUCUUAAUACUAUCAACUACAAAUGUAUUCACCUGCUCUAUCUACUGUACUUGUAUUGUGUUAAGUGAUGUAAAAAACAAAACAAAUAAACCCUGCCUGUCGAUGUUACAUACUUUUAUAAUGCUUAUUUGUUUAUAAUGUGGAUCUGCAUCAGCCAUGCGAAACUCACCCGUCUACUGAUUAAAGGGUGACAUCCUAAUUGUGUGAUUUAAGAGUUUAACCGGCUUUCAAUUGAAAGGUACCUUUUCAGUGUGACCUUAAAGGAAAAUUAUUUGGAGCUGCUGUA